CGGGGGGCAGCAGUAAGGAAUAUUGGUCAAUGGACGCAAGUCUGAACCAGCCAUGCCGCGUGAAGGAUGAAGGCCCUCUGGGUUGUAAACUUCUUUUAUCUGGGACGAAAAAAGGGGAUUCUUCCUCACUUGACGGUACCAGAGGAAUAAGCACCGGCUAACUCCGUGCCAGCAGCCGCGGUAAUACGGAGGGUGCAAGCGUUAUCCGGAUUCACUGGGUUUAAAGGGUGCGUAGGUGGGCAGGUAAGUCAGUGGUGAAAUCUUCGAGCUUAACUCGGAAACUGCCAUUGAUACUAUCUGUCUUGAAUAUCCUGGAGGUGAGCGGAAUAUGUCAUGUAGCGGUGAAAUGCUUAGAUAUGACAUAGAACACCAAUUGCGAAGGCAGCUCACUACGGGAUGAUUGACGCUGAGGCACGAAAGCGUGGGGAUCAAACAGGAUUAGAUACCCGAGU
rnacentral:rRNA from 1 species